rnacentral:rRNA from 1 species
AUUGAACGCUGGCGGCGUGCCUAACACAUGCAAGUCGAGCGGAGCGGCGGACGGGUGAGUAAUGCCUAGGAAUCUGCCUGGUAGUGGGGGAUAACGUCCGGAAACGGGAGCUAAUACCGCAUACUAUCAGAUGAGCCUAGGUCUGUUUAGCCAGUUGGUGGGGUAAAGGCCUACCAAGGCGACGAUCCGUAGCUGGUCGGAGGGGAUGAUCAGUCAAACGGGAACUAGGAGACGGUCCCGACGCCUACGGGAGGCAGGAGUGGGGAAUAUUGGACAAGGGGCGAAAGCCUGAUCCACCCAUGCCGCGUGUGUGAAGAAGGUCUUCGGAUUGUAAAGCACUAUAAGUUGGGAGGCGGUACCAACAGAAUAAGCACCGGCUAACUUCGUGCCAGCAGCCGCGGUAAUUC